rnacentral:rRNA from 1 species
UGGGGAAUUUUGGACAAUGGGGGAAACCCUGAUCCAGCCAUCCCGCGUGUGCGAUGAAGGCCUUCGGGUUGUAAAGCACUUUUGGCAGGAAAGAAACGUCAUGGGUUAAUACCCCGUGAAACUGACGGUACCUGCAGAAUAAGCACCGGCUAACUACGUGCCAGCAGCCGCGGUAAUACGUAGGGGGCAAGCGUUAAUCGGAAUUACUGGGCGUAAAGCGUGCGCAGGCGGUUCGGAAAGAAAGAUGUGAAAUCCCAGAGCUCAACUUUGGAACUGCAUUUUUAACUACCGGGCUAGAGUGUGUCAGAGGGAGGUGGAAUUCCGCGUGUAGCAGUGAAAUGCGUAGAUAUGCGGAGGAACACCGAUGGCGAAGGCAGCCUCCUGGGAUAACACUGACGCCCAUGCACGAAAGCGUGGGGAGCAAACAGG